rnacentral:snRNA from 1 species
GUGCUUGCUUCAGCAGCACAUAUACUAAAAUUGGAAUAUUCAGAAAAGAUUGGCAUGGACCUUGCUCAAAAAUAACACUCAAAUUUGUGAAGCAUUCCAUAAAAAA